GUUAGCGGCGGACGGGUGAGUAACACGUGGGCAACCUACCUUAUAGUUUGGGAUAACUCCGGGAAACCGGGGCUAAUACCGAAUAAUCUAUUUUACUUCAUGGUGAAAUACUGAAAGACGGUUUCGGCUGUCGCUAUAAGAUGGGCCCGCGGCGCAUUAGCUAGUUGGUGAGGUAACGGCUCACCAAGGCGACGAUGCGUAGCCGACCUGAGAGGGUGAUCGGCCACACUGGGACUGAGACACGGCCCAGACUCCUACGGGAGGCAGCAGUAGGGAAUCUUCCACAAUGGGCGAAAGCCUGAUGGAGCAACGCCGCGUGAGUGAAGAAGGUUUUCGGAUCGUAAAACUCUGUUGUAAGGGAAGAACAAGUACAGUAGUAACUGGCUGUACCUUGACGGUACCUUAUUAGAAAGCCACGGCUAACUACGUGCCAGCAGCCGCGGUAAUACGUAGGUGGCAAGCGUUGUCCGGAAUUAUUGGGCGUAAAGCGCGCGCAGGCGGUCCUUUAAGUCUGAUGUGAAAGCCCACGGCUCAACCGUGGAGGGUCAUUGGAAACUGGGGGACUUGAGUGCAGAAGAGGAA
rnacentral:rRNA from 1 species